rnacentral:lncRNA from 1 species
AUGGCGGAAGGGCAGGUUCUAGUCCUGGAUGGCCGAGGCCUCUUCUGGGCGGAGAAGCCCCUAUGAUUUCCUAGCCCGAAGCCACAUUUUUUUGGCCCACUGUGUGAGGCAUGCUGCCCCCCACGAGACCGAGAGAGGCCAGGCUGCCCUGGAGCACCUCAAGGUGUUGGGUGGGAUCCCUCCACCCUAUGGCAAGAAAAAGCGGAUGGUGGUCCCGGUCACCCGCAAGGUUGUGUGGCUGAAGCCUACCAGAAAGUUUGCUUACCUGGGGCGUCUGGCUCAUGAGGUCAGGUGGAAGUACUAGGCAGUGGCAGCCACUCUGGAGGGGAAACGGAAGGAAAAAAAGGCUAAGAUCCACGAUCAGAAGAAGUAGCUCCUGAGGCUACUGAAACAGGCAGAAAAGAAUGUGGAGAAGAAAAUCUGCAAGUUCACAGAGGUCCUCACGACCAGUGGACGCCUGGUG